CACACCGCCCGUCACAUCACGAAAGUGGAUUGUACUAGAAGCAGGUAGCCUAACCGCAAGGGGGGCGCUUGCCACGGUGUGGCCGAUGACUGGGGUG
rnacentral:rRNA from 1 species